GAUGAACGCUGGCGGCGUGCCUAAUACAUGCAAGUCGAGCGAACAGACGAGGAGCUUGCUCCUCUGACGUUAGCGGCGGACGGGUGAGUAACACGUGGAUAACCUACCUAUAAGACUGGGAUAACUUCGGGAAACCGGAGCUAAUACCGGAUAAUAUAUUGAACCGCAUGGUUCAAUAGUGAAAGACGGUUUUGCUGUCACUUAUAGAUGGAUCCGCGCCGCAUUAGCUAGUUGGUAAGGUAACGGCUUACCAAGGCGACGAUUCGUAGCCGACCUGAGAGGGGGAGUCGGCCAACUGGGAACGGAGCACGGGCCCGACCCCUACAGGGGGCAAGAGGAGGGGAUUCUCCGCAAGGGGGGGAAAGCUGAAGGGGCAACCCCGGGGGGGGGAAGAAAGGCUUCGGGUUCGAAAACUCUUUUUUUAAGGAAAAAAAAAAGUGGAAAUAACUAUUCCCGGCUUGAACGGUCCCAAACAAAAAACCACGGCAUAAUUCGGG
rnacentral:rRNA from 1 species